GAACUUCCUGUUCUGAGAGAUGAAGAGAAACACGUCAUUUCUGAGUUUUGUGUAAACGAGUCCUUAGCAGAGACGUUUCUGUCUGUGAUUUUGGAGAAGAUCAAGGUGGAGAGAGGGUUUAUGGGACAUGAUCUCCUGCAGUCUCUCUGUAGGGUUUAUGUAGGCGUGUGUCAACAGAGAGGAGACUCUCACAAAGCACAUGCUCUCGCCUACAGACUCCUUAAAGAAGGUGAUCUCCUGUGUAUGGCUCAUUGUAGGUCAUUCCAUAGGU